GACGGAGGGUGCAAGCGUUGCUCGGAAUCACUGGGCGUAAAGGGUGCGUAGGCGGCUGUGUAAGUCUGGCGUGAAAGCCCCGGGCUCAGCCCGGGAAGUGCGCUCGAAACUGCGCAGCUCGAGUGCCGGAGGGGAGAGUGGAAUUCCAGGUGUAGCGGUGAAAUGCGUAGAUAUCUGGAGGAAUACCGGUGGCGAAGGCGGCAUCCUGGACCGGUAUUGACGCUGAGGAGCGAAAGCCAGGGGAGCAAACGGG
rnacentral:rRNA from 1 species